rnacentral:rRNA from 1 species
AAGCUCGUAGUUGAAUUUCGGGACCAAUUUGUUGGUCGUGCCUCGGUACGUACUGGUAUUAUUGGUUUCCCCCUUCUGAAGAACCUUGAUGUCAUUAAUUUGGUGUCUUGGGGAAUCAGGACUGUUACUUUGAAAAAAUUAGAGUGUUUAAAGCAGGCUCACGCUUGAAUACAUUAGCAUGGAAUAAUGAAAUAGGACGUUUGAUUCUAUUUUGUUGGUUUCUAGGAUCGACGUAAUGAUUAAUAGGGAUAGUUGGG